rfam:Trichosporon oleaginosus strain IBC0246 unplaced genomic scaffold CC85scaffold_9, whole genome shotgun sequence.
GGGCGUGUAGCUCAGUUGGUAGAGCGUGUCAUUAGCAGUCGGUGUGCGAGCAGCACACCACAAUGAUCUUGACAAGGUCUUUGGUUCGAUUCCUAACUCGUCCA